GGUCGGUUACUACUACAUUUCAAUGAACGUCUCGCACAUUCACGUCGUCUUUUCCGCUUUGGUUCUCCUCUCGGGAGCAGAAGAAUGGAAUCCGUGGCCUCCCUUACGUUUCCAGAUCUCAUCUCGAUUAGGGUUUUCUUGCUCUCGAUCUUAACGUCUGACCUAAUGGAACGCGAGUCUAGUCCUUUUUCUUGCCCGUGAUUCAUCGGAACUUGGUAACUUCUUCGUCUUUCUCCAGAUCGUCUUUGUGUUGCUGCUUAUUCAAUGAUGUCGUACGAACCCGUACGAUCGAGGUACGUGAAGCUCACCAAGGACCAGGAUGCGCCGUUAGAGGAGAUCCGCCCAGGAGAGCUCAAUCAACCCGUUCGCGUUCCCCAGUUGGGGGUCCGCCGGUGUCCCGAGUGCGGGCAACCUUUGCCUGAAAGCUAUGAGCCACCUGCUGAUGAAUCUUGAACUACUGCAAUUGGUGGCUGUGCUAAGGAUCCUGAGAGCUAACUCUCCAUGUCAACCUUGUAUGGUCCAUUGCUGCAUGCAUUGGUGUGCCAUCUGUCAGGAGCAUUGAGAAAUGAAAGGUCAGUUAUCCGGUGAUCUUGUGCAGAUUACAGUUGUCAAUCCACCGGCGGUGCAAGAAAUAAGCAACCAUAGUUUGAGCCUACAUGCUGAAUUGGAGAUGAAAGCAUUAUGGUUCAUCUGAUUUCCAGCACAGGUCGAGAACUUCUAGCAGAAGAAAGAAGGCUGAAAGAUCAACUCUUUUAUGUUUCUUCUUUUAACAAACUUUAAUGACAUCUCAAGGAAAAUUGCUGGACACCAAGGUGCUCAGAUCUAGGCAUUUUCUGUAUAUGAAGAUUCUAUGCUUGUUCAGAUAAAGAGAGUCUGAUGGAUUUGCUUCGUCGAACUUUAAUGCGCGGUUGCUGCAAUCAAGUGAUGGGACCAACUCAUAGAGCCCGAGACGUCGGGAGCAUAUUAACUUCAAUCAUGGCGGACGACGUCAUUUCACGGCCAUAAACCAUCUCCAUGGAUUCGCCACGUUUUCCUUGCACGCCCACGAGACGAAAUCUCGGCUCCCUCCCCUCUUGACUGUGAGUAUUCUCUUUUUGAUUGAUAUAACAGCCUUUCACAUCAACGCCAUGCUCACCUUAUCACCAACUUCGCUCUACUUUAUUGCUCACAAUACUUGAGAUAGACUGCUGCAAACCCUUGUUCGCGAUACUUACUUUUCUUGCUUUUCGUUGGAGUACUAUAUAGAUUAUAAGGAAUCCUUUUAGCGUGGCUGGAGGAUCGCAUGCUGACAAGAUCUAUAGGGUUUGGAUUUUCACGAAACAUGCACAGUAGAUUCUUCGAUAGCCUUGUAAAGCAUAUUCGAUAGAUUUCAUCCCACGUUUUUUAUUUAUUAUUUUAUAUAUGAUAUCGUUUCUCACAAUCUAAUCUGAUAAACUGCUUCACCUUUUAGUAUAUGAUUAAAAUGAUAGAAGAUAAGAAUGAUUAUUGAAUAAGCUUUAUUGAAGUAACUUUAGCUUGAAUACGAAUCUUGGAUCGAUGCAAAGAAUGGUUUAUGAGCCAAGGCUUCGUGAGUAGGGCAAGAGCAGAUCGUUGCUGCUAUUGUUGUUAUUGUUGUUGUUGCAGCUGCGACGACGACGACCAUAGUAGAGGAGAAAGCUGUAGUAAUAGAAAAAACUAUAGCAAUGCUGUAGCAAAGGAAUAAGCUACAAUAAAGGAGGAAGUUGUAGUAGAGGAGGAAGUUGCAGCGAUGUUAUAGCAGAGGAGGAAGCUACAGCAGAGGUGCAGCAGAGGAGAAAGCUGCAAUAGAGGUACAGUAGAGGAGGAAGCUGCAAAAGAGGAGGAAGCUACAACGAUGCCAUAAUAGAGAAGAAGGCUACAGCAAAGGAGGAAAGGUGGGGCAGUGCUAGUGAGCGUAGCACUAGAGACGCCACAGCGGAAGGGAACGGACGUUGGUGUAGAGUGGAAGUGGAGAAGACAGUUGUCGUUCGCCGAGGAGGAAAGAUUUAUCGCACCGAUGGCCUGAUGAUGGAAAAGCAAUAGUAGAAAGCUUUUUCUUUUGCCACCGAAGGUGGAGAAGCAACAAAUAAGUCGACAUUGAGAAGAGAGCUUGCUUUAGGCAAGUGGCUCUGAUACCAUGAUAAAAAUGAUAGAAGAUAAGAACAAUUAUUGAAGAAACUUUAUUGAAGUAACUUUAGCUUGAAUAUAUUAACAUGUCCCUCUCAAUCUUAUCUUCUAUCAGUAUAAAGAUAAGGUCAUUCACCCUUUGGUAUGAAUUAUUAGUUCUAAAUGUUUAAGUCCAACCUAUCAACUAAUUCGACUUUCCCCUUAUGAUUCAAAUAUAGUCUAGAAUUAAAAUCUUUUCAAGUAUAGUGCUUCUGUCAUCCUCGUAAGGCUCAAAUAUUAUUCGCACUUGAUGUUCAGCACAGAAUUUGUUGAUGUACUGUGAUAACUAGUUCUUUAGCUUGAUAAAUCUAAACCACUAGCUCAAAACAUUUAAUCCAAAUUAAUGAUAGUAGAAUCAUUAAUUUAAUAUGAUGAAAAUGAAUCAUUAGCCAAAAUAUAUAGGUGUUAAUACAUGAAAGUCAAGAUUGCAAUGCAUCAUCUCUAUUGAAACAUUCUCUCAGUUAGCAUACUAUUAUACCGUUGAUAGGACUUAAGUUUGAGUUCGAAUAAGAAUUUAAUAUAAUACAAAUUUCAAUGCAUAAAACCUUAUAUAAUUU